GACGAACGCUGGCGGCGUGCUUAACACAUGCAAGUCGAACGGAAAGGCCCUGCUUUUGUGGGGUGCUCGAGUGGCGAACGGGUGAGUAACACGUGAGUAACCUGCCCUUGACUUUGGGAUAACUUCAGGAAACUGGGGCUAAUACCCGAUCGGAGCUCCUGCUGCAUGGUGGGGGUUGGAAAGUUUCGGCGGUUGGGGCUGGACUCGCGGCUUAUCAGCUUGUUGGUGGGGUAGUGGCUUAACAAGGGUUUGACGGGUAGCCGGCAUGAGAGGGUGAACGGGCACAUUGCGCCUGCGGUACGGCGCAGUCUCCUAUGGUAGGCAGCAGUGGGGAGUAUUGCACAAUGGGCGGAAGCCUGAUGCAGCAGCGCCGCGUGCGGGAUGCAGGCCUUUGGGUUGUGAACCGCUUUCGCCUGUGACGAAGCGUGAGUGACGGUAAUGGGUAAAGAAGCACCGGCUAACUACGUG
rnacentral:rRNA from 1 species